rnacentral:rRNA from 2 species
UACGUAGGGGGCAAGCGUUGUCCGGAAUCAUUGGGCGUAAAGGGCGCGUAGGCGGAUACUUAAGUCUGGUGUGAAAACCUAGGGCUCAACCCUGGGACUGCAUCGGAAACUGGGUAUCUUGAGGACAGGAGAGGAAAGUGGAAUUCCACGUGUAGCGGUGAAAUGCGUAGAUAUGUGGAGGAACACCAGUGGCGAAGGCGACUUUCUGGACUGUAACUGACGCUGAGGCGCGAAAGCGUGGGGAGCAAACAGG